rnacentral:rRNA from 1 species
GACGAACGCUGGCGGCGUGCUUAACACAUGCAAGUCGAACGGAAAGGCCCUUCUUUUGUGGGGUGCUCGAGUGGCGAACGGGUGAGUAACACGUGGGUAACCUGCCCUUGACUUUGGGAUAACUUCAGGAAACUGGGGCUAAUACCGGAUAGGAGCUCCUGCUGCAUGGUGGGGGUUGGAAAGUUUCGGCGGUUGGGGAUGGACUCGCGGCUUAUCAGCUUGUUGGUGGGGUAGUGGCUUACCAAGGCUUUGACGGGUAGCCGGCCUGAGAGGGUGACCGGCCACAUUGGGACUGAGAUACGGCCCAGACUCCUACGGGAGGCAGCAGUGGGGAAUAUUGCACAAUGGGCGGAAGCCUGAUGCAGCAACGCCGCGUGCGGGAUGACGGCCUUCGGGUUGUAAACCGCUUUCGCCUGUGACGAAGCGUGAGUGACGGUAAUGGGUAAAGAAGCACCGGCUAACUACGUG